rnacentral:misc_RNA from 1 species
UUAACUUAUUCAAUUAAUCGGGCACAUGGCCCACCAACUCAGACAGCCUGUGUGCACCAGAGUUUCUGUUUGGGCCCCUCCCCAGGCACCUCCGUCCAGUGACCAGGCAGGGUUGGACGGGCAGCAAUGGCUGCUGGCCUGGGAAAGCAACAUGGAUGGGUACUCAGGGAGGUUUGAAGCUCGGGGGCCUUAUGUGGGGGGUCCCGACCAUUUUUAAUGAUCCUUCCGCAGGUUCACCUACGGAAA